UUAAGCUAUGACCAAAGGUGUAAUUCUCCACAUGGAAAAUAGGAAGAGGAUUUUGCGGAGACAUGGAAUGAUCCCCUCUCCAGUAAUAAGGCUCAGUCCAGUCACUCAAGUUCCAGGGAACUUCUGAAAGCCCAAGUCUCUCUGUGCCUCAGUUGCAGCACCCAAAAGGUUGUCGUGGUUUAGCCCCAGUCAGCAACCCAGCCCCACGCAGCCGCUCGCUCACUCCCCCCGGUGGGACGGGGGAGAGAAUCGGAAGAGUAAGAGUGACACAACUCAUGGUUUGAGAUAAAGACAGCUUAACAGAUCCCAGUUCAAACAGUAAAUGGGAGGAUGCAGAAGGAAGGCACCAUGAGUGCACAGGUGAGACGUGGAGUGUUCUACUUCAUUCCAAAGAACAGGAAUCAUACCUGAACUGGUAGUAGCUGCCAGCAAGAGCCGCUCACAGGGAGACAGUGGCUGUUUACCUGCACCGCUUGGCCAGACCAGGGAGGACAGACCCACUUGUGUUCUCCGACAGAAGACAGUGACGUGACACAAAUGGUAGCACAAGGCUCUUACUGUUACAUUCAGUAAUUGAUUCUCCUGAAUGGAUUGUGGCUCCCUAAAGGUUGCAAAGAAUGAUUGUACAGCAUC